CUUUCGCCUCCUCCGCUUUGGGAGCCCCGGGCUACUCUUUCACAGCCCCUGUUGCCCUGUGAUCUGUAGGUCCUUGGGGACGCACAGUUAAGAUGACAGGACAUCCUGGAAGCUGGGAAAUGGUAACUUCUUAGACCAAGUCUAGAAACAGUCUGAGGACAAUAACAAUUCCAUUCUAAAAAGAAUCUCCCAACAUUUCUUCUAUCUCAACCUCAACUGCAUCUGCCUGUGAACUUCCAGCUUACCAAGGCUCUAUAUCUUCUGGCAGUGACAAAGGCUCCUUCCAUGGUUGGUGUGAGUAGGCUUGGACACCUGCAGGGCAGACACCCAGGAAUAAUCAACUGGGCCUUCAGUGGUCCUCUUUUGCAGGGUCAAGAUAUGUAUUCAUUUCCUACCACCGUAGUGGAAGAGAGAUUUUCCCUAUCUUUACAACUGAUAGCAUUUCCAACAGUAAGCUGUGAGAUUCUGCUUGAAAUCACCUCUCAAACAAAUAAAAAACAGACCUGGGAGACAUGCUACACUCAUUCUGCUGAGGAAAUAGGGCAAGAAUAUUUUCUAAGACCCCGAACUCCAGAUAUGCGAUGGGGCA
rnacentral:lncRNA from 1 species